GUUGAUUAUGGCUCAGGAUGAACGCUGGCUACAGGCUUAACACAUGCAAGUCGAGGGGCAGCAUAUUGGUAGCUUGCUACUAAUGAUGGCGACCGGCGCACGGGUGAGUAACGCGUAUCCAACCUUCCCUAUACUAGAGGAUAGCCCGGCGAAAGUCGGAUUAAUACUCUAUGUUAUUCAAUGCGGACAUCUAAGUUGAAUCAAAGAUUUAUCGGUAUAGGAUGGGGAUGCGUCUGAUUAGGUGUUGGCGGGGUAACGGCCCACCAAGCCUGCGAUCAGUAGGGUUCUGAGAGGAAGGUCCCCCACAUUGGAACUGAGACACGGUCCAAACUCCUACGGGAGGCAGCAGUGAGGAAUAUUGGUCAAUGGACGAGAGUCUGAACCAGCCAAGUAGCGUGCAGGAUGACGGCCCUAUGGGUUGUAAACUGCUUUUAUACAGGGAUAAAGUGAGCCACGUGUGGCUUUUUGUAGGUACUGUAUGAAUAAGGACCGGCUAAUUCCGUGCCAGCCGCCGC
rnacentral:rRNA from 1 species